UCGGCAAUCACCAAUUAAGAGACAGUCCAAGAGCAGAGGACUAUGUCCCUCCUGGAGAAGGUCAUGUUGGGGAAGUAUGAGAUCUGCAGCAAUGAUGGACCAAUGAAGACCAGGAACCACAUGAAAAUUAAGUGGGUCCUUGGCAUUAUGGGUCCGCAUCUUUAGCCUGACAUAUAGAAAGAAAAUUUGACAGCAGAUAAGAACCACUUGGCCCAUCUAGUCUGCCCCUUUUUUCCUUUACGUAUUCUUAACACUUUCUGAUCUUCAUUUCUUUGUAAGGAUAUGGUAGGCCAUAAGGAAUCAUGAAAUGCUGACCACACAAAGGAAGCCAUCUGAGAAGGUUAUUUUAUUGCAGAAAGUGAAGAAAGACUGGAGAUCUCAAGUUAGUUCAAUGGAGGAAGAAGGCCAGCCAUUCAAGUCAACAUGAGACAAGCAUUGGCAGAGGUCAUCACUGAGUUCCUCCAUGCACCUGGAGGUCGUCAUCAGCACCAGUGAUACCUGAGUCUGGGAUGUGAGCAUGUUAUAAGGUGUCAGCAACAUAGGGGUCCUUUCCACAUUUGCUCACCACAUCCAGAUGGUACCUUUGGAGCUUGAGCAUGCAAGGUUGAAUUUGUGCUGAGGCAGUAUGCAAGGGUUUGCAAAGAAUGGUAAUCAUGGGUUGAUGGUCUGUCUUAAUCAUAAAUAAAUUCAUAAAACUUUUUACAAGCAA